rnacentral:rRNA from 1 species
CCUACGGGAGGCAGCAGUGGGGAAUAUUGGUCAAUGGGCGCAAGCCUGACCCAGCAACGCAGCGUGAAGGAAGAAGGCUUUCUGGUUGUUAACUUCUUUUAAGAGGGAAGUGCAGAUGACGGUAUCUCCUGAAUAAGCUAUGGCUAACUACGUGCCCGCAGCCGCGUUAGUACGUAGUUGUCAAGUGUUGUCCGGAUUUACUGGGUGAACAGGGCGUGCAGCCGGGAAUAUAAGUCAGAUGGGAAGUCUAGCGGCUCAACCGCGGAACUGCAUUUGAAAAUGUUUUUCUUGAGUACCCGAGAGGUCAUCGGAAUUCCUUGUGUAGCGGUGAAAUGCGUAGAUAUAAGGAAGAACACCAGUGGCGAAGGCGGAUGACUGGACGGCAACUGACGGGGAGGCGCGAAAGCGUGGGUAGCAAACAGGAUUAGAUACCCCGGUAGUC